GAGGACUUACUGCUGCUACUGUGGAUGCCACCAGUUUCAUACGAGUCGUCACAAGAAUGCAGUUUCCUCUGGAAGUGUUUAUUCCUCUCAAGCUGUCCAUGAACUCAUCCCACACUGGAAGGUCAACAUGCCACAAAUCAUCUAAGACAAGCAAAUAUCUUUUUCCUCCUAGUUCAUCUCGGAGUUUCUUGACUAUUAUAUCCCUGGUUUGGACCUCAAGUUUCCGCUCUGUCAAUGAUUGGAGGA